AAAGUAAAAACAAGUGUUAUCUAGCGAUCCGUUAACUGUACUAUGUUAUUUCGUCUUUGGCAACAUGAGCGAGAAUGUUUUUUGAAACCUGCCCGGCAACGGACGACGCGAUCAUCUGUUGCAGGCAGGUUUGGAAUGGAUUACAUAUGGAUGACGCGCCCGGUACAAAUUUGGCAGCCGGUACAAAUUUAGUGUGACAGCACCACCAAAAAUUGUAUUGUAAAUAAAAUUAGUUUAUUGUUAAUAACGUGUUUAUUGAAUCAUUAUCAACUUGUGAUGGCUAAGCACGUGUUUUACAUGGAAAUAACCAACAAAUACUCUAGCAUCCCGUGAAAAAUGUAUAACAAAUCACACUAUCAGCUCUUACCAACGGGCCUAAAAAAAAUUCUAGGGGAAACACUGAAAUGUAUACAUUUUCUGUGUGGCACCACUGGCGCGUGCCGUGCACAAAGCAAAUGAAAUAUAUCAAAUAUCUGUGCGGCGUGUGCCGUGCCGUGUGUGCACAACGCCAGAAUUCAAAAAGUUUAGAGAUGGCGGUUAGAGCAAAGCGCAGCGAAAUAUUGAAAUACUUUACAGAAAAAGGAGAUCAUACGGUGAAAUGUCAAAUAUGCCAAGCGAAAUUGAGCUACCAGAGUACUACAAGUACUAUGCGGCAUAUGCUCCUGAAACACAACGGUGAGUUCGGGAAAGCAGACCCGCAGCAACCAAGUGUGUGGGUUAUUUUCACCGCCGCAAGACGCAGCUGUAAUCACAGCCGUGUAGAGAAGAUCGCUGAGUAUGUUUUUAGUUCAUUUGCUGCCGUUUUAUUUGCAGCUUUAAAUUAUUUGCAAUGGUUAGGCUACUUGUUUCGUUUUUUUUUUUUAAACCGUUACAGGCCUUUGUUCGACGUGAUUUAAAUUGUGAGACGCAUAUUUAUUUUUGCAAGGAAAAUGAGUUUUGAACGUUUGCCAAAAUAAAUAAUGAAUACUCUGAUAACUCUUUGACUGUUUUGAUUGAGAAU
ensembl:lncRNA